GACGAACGCUGGCGGCGUGCUUAACACAUGCAAGUCGAACGGUAAGGCCCCUUCGGGGGUCCACGAGUGGCGAACGGGUGAGUAACACGUGAGCAACCUUCCCUUUACUCUGGAAUAACAGUUGGAAACAGCUGCUAAUACUGGAUAUUCAUCGUCUCCUUCCUGGGGGGUGGUGGAAAGCUCCGGCGGUCAGGGAUGGUCUCGCGGCCUAUCAGCUUGUUGGUGAGUUAAUGGCUCACCAAGGCUUCGACGGGUAGCCGGCCUGAGAGGGCGACCGGCCACACUGGGACUGAGAUACGGCCCAGCCUCCUACGGGAGGCAGCAGUGGGGAAUAUUGCACAAUGGGCGCAAGCCUGAGGCAGCAACGCCGCGUGCGGGAUGACGGCCUUCGGGUUGUAAACCGCUUUCAGUAGGGACGAAGGGUGACUGACGGUACCUACAGAAGAAGGACCGGCUAACUACGUG
rnacentral:rRNA from 1 species